UGUAAUUAAUCGAAACGCACCAUUUUCAAUGCUAUUUUCAUUGUACCGAUUUCAAAUUGAAGUUACCCCGCGUACGCGAAUUCAUUCCAGCCUACGCCCAGUUCUCCUUCCCACUCCCCGCGUCGAAUCUUUGUUGUCCACCUCCACCGGCGACGCCGACACCGAGCUCAGCGUACAGCAAAACCCGCAUUCAUUUUCUUGAACGCAUCCUAUCCUCUCCCCAAAAGCAAAACCCUGCGUUGCGUCCCUUCGUCUCACCCCCCCUCCCCGCGUCGCAACCCAUCCCCACCAGCCCCAACCUACUCGUGUCUCCCAGCUCUCCUCCCUCCCUCUCUGCCUCCCAUCUCCCUUUCUUUCUCCUCUUCGGUAUAGCUCUCCUCUCCGAAUCUUAUUGGGCAGCUCUCCUCCACGGUUGCUUUUGGGACGACUCUCCUCCACGGUUGCUUUUGGGACGGCUCUCCUCCAUGGAUGCUGUGAAACUCUCUAUCUUCCUUGCUUCAAAAUCAACAUAAAAUUCAAAAUCUACAUUUCGACCAAUAGGUGAGAGGGUUCCUACCCUAGAAUCGUCCCUCCCUAUGUUGCUUAUUUAAACCAACUGCAUGGGUUUUAAGUUUGGGUUGAUGUUUGGUUUGUGUUUGUACUUUGUGCAUAGCAUGAUUAUCAAUUUUGGGUAUUUUGGUUGUCUUCUAUAGCACGGUUGGUAUAACAGUUCGAAUGAAUGACCCUGUUACAAGAUUAAAGGCAAGAAAUAUGCAUGAUUAAGAAUAUAAUUAUUGUGGGUCUUUUGAACUGGAAUUGAUUAAUUUGAGAAAAGCCCUAGAAAAUAACACCCACACCAUUAUAUGCUUCUGCUUCUAUGUUGUUCUGCGCUUUUAGCUCUAUAGACUUGAAAAUUGGACUCUUCAGGUUUCAUCCAAGUGUAAUAAACCUUGUCAACAUGUUUGGAGCACCUGAGAUUGGGCUUAACAUGGAUUGUUCUUGAUGGUACUUCUUUUUAUGUGCCUUAUAACCAUUUGGCAUGCAGCUUCCAACAACAAUCUUGCAAAUUAAACAGAACAAUUAUAGUUCCUCCGAUAGUAAUAACAAAAUAGUGGAAUGUUGUGUUUUGUCUAUGUUAAAACAGAUUAACUUGCAUGAGAGCCUUUAAAACUGCACAUUUCAUUCGUGGCAGAGAUAACAUGUAGUCCCAAUAAUCCCCCUGCCAUUUAAGUCACAAUUGUAAUAGAAUAGCCCAAAUAGCCCCACGUUUCACACCAUGAAUAAUAUGGUUAAAAGCUUUUUAUUUGUUUUCACUUUUCAUAUUAUUUUUUCUUCUCCUUUAUUUUUUAUUUACUGUUAUCAAUUAUGAUUGGGCAUAUAUAGACAACAUGAUUUGGUAGUAUAAAACGGACCAAGUUCAAUGAUAAGACUUUAAUGAUGCUUUAUUUUUUUUUAGUUUUCAUAUUAUUAUUAUUAUUAUUAUUUUCUGUUAUCAAUGAUGAGACACUAAUAUUAAUUUUUCGCCAUUUGCCAUCAUGUGCUUCCCCUUUAAAGUGUUCAAUCACUUUUAUAUAAUUAGUGUGAUGGGGGAAGAGGAAGAUCGAAUCGCCCCCAAGCCUUCGAUGUCGACUUCGCAGUCAUUAAUGCGUCCCAAAAUACUUUUAGAGAUCCAAUUGAUUACCAUCAUAAUUAUGAUGUAAAUUCCUUGUACUGUCCGAAUUCGAGUAAUUCAGAUAACUUCCAGCAAGAAUUUUCUGCAUGUCCAGAUCCAUCAGAAAAUGUUGGUUGAUGAAAUGUUAUUUGACCUAAAUGAAGAUUUGGAGGGUACCAUUGUUGUCCCGGAUGAUGAGGUACGGGUUGAAGCACCAAGAUCUCUGGAAUGGAAUUUGUUAGUGAGAAUGAGCUUAUGAACUAUUAUAAGAAAUAUGCCAAGCAAAAGGGGUUUGGUGUAAGGACACAGAGGACUAAGAGAGAUGAUGAUGGGAGAUCCGUGUAUGUUACUAUUGGUUGUGCUCGUGGCGGAAAAUACCAACCUAAGAAUAUUAAUAUGUCGAAGCCACAUGCAAUAACGAAAACGGAUUGUAAAGCGAAGAUAAAUGCGACUUUGAACAAGAACAAGAAAUGGGUUAUCGCUAUUGUCGAAAGUGCACACAACCACAUUACAAUCAGCCCCAAGAAGACAAGACUCUUGUGAUCUCACAGGCGUCUAGAUGAGCAUAGUCAAAAGAUCCUUGACCUCAAUGAUAGAGUCGGUAUUCGAAUGAAUAAGAAUUAUUUUUCUCUAGUCGUUGAUGCGGGGCGUUUUGAAAAUCUAGAGUUUCAAGAGAGAGAUUGUCAAAAUUUCAUUGACAAAACUAGACAUUUAAGUUUGGGUAAAUGAGGUGGCGAUGCCCUUUAUGACUAUUUUCAAAGAAUGAGAAAGCAGAAUGAUGGCUUCGUUUCUUCCAUGGAUGUCGAUGAUGAUGGAAGGUUACGCAAUGUAUUUUGGGCUGAUGCACGGAGUCGAGCAGCCUAUGAUACAAUAUACCUAACAAACCGAUAUGGGAUGUCGUUCGCUCCAUUUGUUGGCGUUAACCAUCAUGGACAGUCCAUACUACUAGGGGCGGGGUUGCUGUCAAGCGAGGACACGCAUUCAUUUGUUUGGUUGUUUCGCAUAUGGUUGGAUUGUAUGAAUGGUCAAGCGUCCAAAGCCAUCAUAACUGAUCAAGACCGGGCAAUGAAGAACGUAAUCCAAAUCGUAUUCCCAGAAACCCAUCAUAGAUUUUGUCUAUAGCAUAUCAUGCGCAAACUCUUAGAGAAGUUAGGAUCUCACUCCCAUUUCAGCACAGGGUUGAAGACCUCAAUUCAGUCUGCAUUGUAUGAUUCUUAAACCUGCACGAAAUUUGAAGAGAUGUGGAGUGAACUUCUUGAUAAAUAUGAUCUUAGAGGUAAUCAUUGGCUCAACUCCUUAUAUGAGGAAAGGACUUUUUGGGUCCCCGUUUACUUGAAGGAUGUAUUUUGGGAGGGUAUGAGCACGACACAACGGUCAGAAAGUAUGAAUGCUUUUUUCGAUGGGUAUGUCCAUUCUGGUACCACCUUGAAGGAAAUCGUGGAUCAAUUUGAUAAUGCUUUAAGAAAGAAGGUGGAAGUAGAGACAACGACUGAUUUCAACUCAAGUAACCAAAUGAUCCCCUGCAUUUCUCCUUUCAACUUUGAGAAGCAGUUUUAGAAGGUAUACACAAACACAAAGUUUAAAGAAUUCCAAAAAGAGUUGAUGGGCCUAAUGUGUUGUAACUGCACACUGGUAAGCAAGCAAGGUGCAUUUCAACCUUUGAUAUCUUGGAUGAAAUCUCUAUUCAUGACUGCAACAAAAUUGUCCACUACACACUCUACUAUAACGAAGAUGAAUGCGAGUUAAAAUGCACGUGUGCAUUGUUUGAGAUGAGGGGAAUUUUGUGUAGGCAUGAACUUAAAAUUUUGCAUCUGUCCCGAAUUAACAUGGUGUCAGAUAGAUAUGUCUUGGAUCGCUGGAGGAAGGACGAGAAGAGGACAUACACACUGAUCAAAAGUAGUUAUGAUGAUGAGCAUGCCAGUGGAGAUUCACAGAGGUAUGAGAUGGUGGUUAAAAGAUGCAUGAAAUUAGCAACGAAAAUAUCCCCAAGUGAUGAGCGAGUCAAUGCAUUCCUGAAGGUUGUGGAUGACUUUGAUUCAAAAUGUGAUGAUGAAACAUUUGGGUCAAGAUCCGAAUCAACACAAUUUGGACCAAACGUCGACGCAGACAAGGGUAAAAAGAUAUUAGGCCCUAAUGUGGUCCAAGGUAAAGGAAGACCCCUAAGUAAGAAAAAGGUUCCCCCUGUGGAGAAGAUUACAAGGAAGAGAAAUGUAGGCUUGCAACCAUUUCUUUUGUAAUGUAGGCUUGAAAUUAUUUUUUUCACAUUUAAUCUUUGUCAACCAUUUCUUUUGUAAUGUAGGCUUGCAGAAAAAUAUUGGAUGAUCAAACACAAUUUGGUGACACCCCGGGAUCUGAACAACACCAAUCUGAACAUGGGGUUGGUGUUGGGACACAAAACAGUUCAGUCACACAAUUUAUGCCAGAAGGAAAUCAGGAGGUCUUCGGCUAUUGGUUACAUGUGUAUUUGAAGAUAUUUUUUGUUUUAUAAAUUUUGACUUGUGUAAAUUACAAGUUGUUUACAGCUCAGUUUCACUUCUUUCAAAUCUGAACGAGAAAUGAGAUGCUAUUUUUGUGUCAGUCAUGGUAGUGUUUGUGGUUUUUUGGUCCUUGUGGAUCGGUUUGUGUGUAGUUUGUGAGAAUGUGGAAGUGUUUCACAUUUUUUCCUCUUGGAGAGGGUUGUGUGUAGUUUGUGAAUAUGCAAAGUUGAUUUUUUUUUUUUUUUUAAUUAUCUAGAAGGGGGUAGGGUGUACUUAUUUUGUUUUUUUGCAAAAGGUGGGGAAUAUGCCUAAGGUGGGGAUGGGCUACGUGAUGUGUAACAUUUUUGUAUCAUUUGGGGUAUUUUUGUGUACUUCGUGAAUAUGCCAAUUGUAGGUUUUUGUGCAAACAUUCAAUGGCUUAUAUUUUUUGUUGGAAAGGAAGAGGUGGGGUUUUUUUGUACCAUGAGCUGACUUGUCUUCCUGAAACUGGUUAAUUCAGUGGUGCCAUAUACAUUUAUAUUCAACUCAACUUUGUUGAAUCCAGGUAUAGUAGAUUGAUUUGUUUUCAGAUUUGUAUGAAGCACAUGCAGCUGUCUGCAGCUUUUAUCAUCCUGUACCUGGGCGAUGCCCUCUAUGGUUAACAAAAUGUUUUUGGCUUGAUGAUGUAGAGAUUAUCAGUUUUGCUCAUCUUGGAUUUACAGCUUUUCUUUCUCACUACAAUUAUUUUGUGUGCUAAGCUCAAUUAGGUGACCUACUAAUCUGUUAACCAUAGCCGGGACAUUAAGGGGAGGAGUUUGGAAAUACACGGGAAGAAUGAGGGUUUUCUUGGAUGGUCAUAGGUACAAAUUAAACAGUAUCAAAAUAUUGGUUUUGAUAGUUUUAUUAUGAAUUUCCUUGGCUUUUAUGUGUUUUUUUGACGGAUUGUGUGAUAUAAACUGCAUAUUGGACAUGUUUGAUAAUAUCUAGUUGGAGGUGAAAUUAUUGGUGACUACCCUGAUUAGCUUGCUAUUGCUAUUUUUAUGCUGAUGGGAAUUUUAUGCUGAUGGGAAUUUAAUGCAACAUGAAGUGGUUUUUGUUUCUUAAUAGUGCACAAACUAUUGUCACAACAACCUUGCUGCUGAAAGGGGACAUAUAGGUAUGUUACACAUUAAACUCGUAUCUAGAGUCUGGUAAUUUGCCUAAAUAAUUUUAUUUUUGACUUCUCGUGGCGGAGCACAACAAUUGCAGUGGUUUCAUUUGAUUUGAUGCUGAAGGGACAUUACCAACCGGGGUUCGCACUUGAUAAUCUGGAGCUUUGGAUGCAUAUCUGACCAUUGUUUGCAUGCUAUCAUAUAUCCUGAAGGAUUGACAGUGAUGCGUAAUAAUUUUAGGUAGAACUUAUUCUAAGUACUGGUGCAGACUUCGGGAAAAAUAUCCUAGCUUCCAUGGAUGUGUAGCAGCCUGUUUUAAAUUGGUUACAUUUUAUUUUGCAGCUCAGUUUCACUUGAUAAAUAUCUAUGCCGUAUGCAGUUUAUGGAAGUAAGCUCAACAACUUCGGGUAUCUAACAAACCGAUUUAUGCAUAUAUUGACAUGAAUGUAUUUUUUUGGCCCUCGGGAUCUACUCACUGCAAUAAAUCACUACUGAAAUUUUAUUAUAUCUUGGUGUUGUUUUGCAGGAAGUGAAUGUUACAUUAUAGACUAACGUGGUGAUUUUUUCCGGUUCAUGGUGGGAGCUUGAAGAUUUGCCAGUUGAACAUAAUAGUCCAGGUGGGAGCUUGAAGAUUUGCCAGUUGAACAUAAUAGUCCAGAUUUAUUCUUUUCAAUUAUACUGCUAGUAGUACUUUAUGAUGUAACAUUAUAGCAGAGAAAGAUUCUUUGUAUUCUAGUCCAUGGAAGCUGUUGGUGACGUUUAGUGUGUAAACCGAAGCCAAUGGUUAUGGAGAAAGUUUACGGGUUGCCUUGUAACUAUCAGC